UUGGAUGGUAGUGUAUUGGACUACCAUGGCAAUCACGGGUAACAGAGAAUUAGGGUUCGAUUCCGGAGAGGGAGCCUGAGAAACGGCUACCACAUCUAAGGAAGGCAGCAGGCGCGUAAAUUACCCAAUCCUGACUCAGGGAGGUAGUGACAAGAAAUAACAACUCGGGGUUCUUUGAACUUACGAGAUUGCAAUGAGAACAAUUUAAAACACUUAGCGAGUACCAAUUGGAGGGCAAGUCUGGUGCCAGCAGCCGCGGUAAUUCCAGCUCCAAUAGCGUAUAUUAAAGUUGUUGCAGUUAAAAAGCUCGUAGUUGAAUUUCUGGUCGGAUCUGUGGAGCCUUAUGGGCAAAGCAGAAUUUCUAGAUCAUCCUCCUGGGAACCAUAUACGAGUCUAACCGCUCGAUAUGGGAAACGGGAAUUUUACCUUGAAAAAAUUAGAGUGUUUCAGGCAGGCUUAAGCCCGAAUACAUUAGCAUGGAAUAAUGGAAUAGGACUGAAUCCAUUUUGUUGGUUAUUGGAUUUAGUAAUGAUUAAUAGGGACAGUUGGGGGCAUUAGUAUUUAAUUGUCAGAGGUGAAAUCCUUGGAUUUAUUAAAGACUAACUAAUGCGAAGGCAUUUGCCAAGGAUGUUUUCAUUAAUCAAGAACGAAAGUUAGGGGAUCAAAGACGAUCAGAUACCGUC
rnacentral:rRNA from 1 species